rnacentral:lncRNA from 1 species
AGCUGGGACCGAAGACUCUAGGCUAAGUUAUCUCUCUAUGUAGAUGGUGUCAGGGAGCGAAGCUACUGACCGAGCCGCUGGAUAGAUGCUUAGUAAAAGAGCUGAUAUAGUUUUUAAACUUUAAUAGACAAAGUCGGAAGAAAAUCCAGAAAAUAUUGGCCGAAAUG